rnacentral:rRNA from 1 species
UACGUAGGGGGCAAGCGUUAUCCGGAUUUACUGGGUGUAAAGGGAGCGUAGACGGCAGCGCAAGUCUGGAGUGAAAUGCCGGGGCCCAACCCCGGAACUGCUUUGGAAACUGUGCGGCUCGAGUGCGGGAGAGGUAGGCGGAAUUCCUAGUGUAGCGGUGAAAUGCGUAGAUAUCAGGAGGAACACCAGUGGCGAAGGCGGCUUACUGGACCGUAACUGACGUUGAGGCUCGAAAGCGUGGGGAGCAAACAGG